CAACUCAGGGACGUUUUUCCUUGC
rnacentral:siRNA from 1 species